UACGUAGGGGGCAAGCGUUGUCCGGAUUUAUUGGGCGUAAAGAGCGUGUAGGCGGCCAGAUAGGUCUGUUGUGAAAACUCGAGGCUCAACCUCGAGACGUCGAUGGAAACCAUUUGGCUAGAGUCCGGAAGAGGAGAGUGGAAUUCCUGGUGUAGCGGUGAAAUGCGCAGAUAUCAGGAAGAACACCCGUGGCUAAGGCGGCUCUCUAGUACGGUACUGACGCUGAGACGCGAAAGCGUGGGGAGCGAACAGG
rnacentral:rRNA from 1 species